UGUGUAGGCGGUUGUUUAAGUUUGGUGUGAAAUCUCCCGGCUCAACUGGGAGGGUGCGCCGAAUACUGAAUGACUUCGAGUGCGGGAGAGGGAAGUGGAAUUCCUGGUGUAGCGGUGAAAUGCGUAGAUAUCAGGAGGAACACCGGUGGUGUAGACGGCUUUCUGGACCGUAACUGACGCUGAGACACGAAAGCGUGGGUAGCAAACAGGAUUAGAUACCCUGGUAGUCCACGCCCUAAACGAUGCAUAUUUGGUGUGGGCAGUUCAUUCUGUCCGUGCCGGAGCUAACGCGUUAAAUAUGCCGCCUGGGGAGUACAGUCGCAAGGCUGAA
rnacentral:rRNA from 1 species